CUACGGGUGGCUCCAGGCGCGAAACCUUUUCAAUGCGCGAAAGCGUGAGAAGGGAAUUCCAAGUGCUUAAGUUUUACUUAGGCUUUUGUCAAGUGUAAAAAGCUUGGCGAAUAAGGGGUGGGUAAGACCGGUGCCAGCCGCCGCGGUAACACCAGCGCCUCGAGUGGGGGUCGCGAUUAUUGGGUCUAAAGCGUCCGUAGCAGGCUUUGUAAAUGCUUUGUGAAAUCGGCAGGCAUAACCUGUCGGCGUGCAGAGUAGACUGCAGUGCUUGAGAUCGGGAGAGGUUAGAAGUAUUCUUUGGGUACCGGUAAAAUGGGUUAAUCCAGAGAGGACUACCUAUGGCGAAGGCAUCUGACCAGAACGAUUCUGACUGUGAGGGACGAAAGCUAGGGGAGCAAAACGGAUUAGAUACCCCUGUAGUC
rnacentral:rRNA from 1 species